rnacentral:lncRNA from 1 species
GGCGGCUGCGUCCUGCGGCAUGAAGGCCGCAUCCAGCGCCAUGGGCUACUGGUUUUCAUCUUACCUUUUGCAUGUUCUUCUUUCUUUGUGUUCUUCUCGAUCUCGAAAUUGCUCAGAUGCAGAGCGUGCUGAUAACGUGUGAAGAAUCGGUUGUCAAGAAACGAGAGAAUCGAACGUAUGAAUCAACUCUUGUCUUAUUCCAUUGAUGUUCAACAUAUUUAUACAAGGAGAAGGGACCCAAUGAAAAGAUGCGUCCGUUCGUGAAGGGGUGCGUGGUAUGUCGGUUGCCAUUCUACUAACCGACA